rnacentral:rRNA from 1 species
GACGAACGCUGGCGGCGUGCUUAACACAUGCAAGUCGAGCGAUGAAGCUUCCUCGGGAGUGGAUUAGCGGCGGACGGGUGAGUAACACGUGGGUAACCUGCCUCAUAGAGGGGAAUAGCCUUUCGAAAGGAAGAUUAAUACCGCAUAAGAUUGUAGUACCGCAUGGUACAGCAAUUAAAGGAGUAAUCCGCUAUGAGAUGGACCCGCGUCGCAUUAGCUAGUUGGUGAGGUAACGGCUCACAAAGGCGACGAUGCGUAGCCGACCUGAGAGGGUGAUCGGCCACAUUGGGACUGAGACACGGCCCAGACUCCUACGGGAGGCAGCAGUGGGGAAUAUUGCACAAUGGGGGAAACCCUGACGCAGCAACGCCGCGUGAGUGAUGACGGUCUUCGGAUUGUAAAGCUCUGUCCUCAGGGACGAUAAUGACGGUACCUGAGGAGGAAGCCACGGCUAACUACGUGCCAGCCGCCGCCGUAAUAC